rnacentral:rRNA from 1 species
CUACGGGUGGCUGCAGUGGGGAAUAUUGCACAAUGGACGAAAGUCUGAUGCAGCAACGCCGCGUGGAGGAUGACACUUUUCGGAGCGUAAACUCCUUUUAUAUCCCAAGAUAAUGACGGUAGGAUAUGAAUAAGCACCGGCUAACUCCGUGCCAGCAGCCGCGGUAAUACGGGGGGUGCAAGCGUUACUCGGAAUCACUGGGCGUAAAGAGCGUGUAGGCGGGUUUGUAAGUUGGAAGUGAAAUCCUGUGGCUCAACCAUAGAACUGCUUCCAAAACUGCUUACCUAGAAUAUGGGAGAGGUAGAUGGAAUUUCUGGUGUAGGGGUAAAAUCCGUAGAGAUCAGAAGGAAUACCGAUUGCGAAGGCGAUCUACUGGAACAUUAUUGACGCUGAGACGCGAAAGCGUAGGGAGCAAACAGGAUUAGAUACCCCAGUAGUC